AUGAUUCUCUAAUCGAUGUUUCUAACUCUCUGUCCCUCUCUCUUCCUCUCUGUUAAAAUAUAUGUAGUAGAUGCCUCCUACAUAGCCCCAUAGUGGCCAGGAUCAAACCUGCAAAUUAGAACCACCAAAUCACGCGGUCUUUCAAGGUCCAGGGAAGUCAUGCACUAUAUGCCAAUAUCCGUCAAAGAGUGAUUGUCUGGCAUUAUACUGUCCCUCCUAAAGCACAGAAAUGAUGGUAUCCACACAAUAUCUGUUCACUCCGAAUGAUGAUGAUCACAAUUGUGCUUGAAAAUCAUCCCUGGAUGUGACUAUAACAAAAAACAAACAAACAAAAAAAGGUACAAAAGAAAAAGAAAAAACACCUUUACUAAAAGAUCAUAAACCAGAACAGAGGACAGAAAGCAUUUGGUAGCCUGGUGAAUGAGAACUUGAAACAAUCCAUCACAUCACAAUGUGAGUACCACGAUGUCCCUGAAAGAGGUACCGUGUUUCCCCGUAAAUAAGACAUCCUCCGAGAAUAAGGCCUAGCGCAUGGAAAGAUAAGACAUCUCCUGAAAAUCAGACCUAGCGCAACUUUGGGAGAAAAAAAUUAAUAUAAGACACUGUCUUAUUUUCGGGGAAACAGGGCAGUGCUUCUUGGCUGAGAAGGGGUUGCUCUGGAUGAGUCCUGGGUCAGGUCCAUUUUCUUCUCACAGAGAAAUGAAUGAAUGAAGAUACCGCCAAGAGCUUGGAGGAACCAUAAUUACUUCCAGCAGAAGUGAGGACACGGGCCGAAACCGGUGUGGCUCAGUGGAUAGAGCGUUGGUCUGCGGACGGAAGGGUCCAGGGUUCAAUUCCAGUCAGGGGCAUGUACCUGG